GAUAAGUUGGCAGAUUAAUGCCACCGACUUAGGAUCGGUUCAUGGAUAUUAUCCACUUAUUAA
rnacentral:tRNA from 1 species